AUCAGGUAGGAGUUACCCGCUGAACUUAA
rnacentral:rRNA from 1 species